AACGAACGCUGGCGGCAGGCCUAACACAUGCAAGUCGAACGAACCCCUCGGGGUGAGUGGCGCACGGGUGCGUAACACGUGGGAAUAUACCCUUCAGUAAGGAAUAACUCAGAGAAAUUUGUGCUAAUACCUUAUAAUGACUCCGGUCCAAAGAUUUAUCGCUGAAGGAUUAGCCCGCGCCUGAUUAGGUAGUUGGUGAGGUAAGAGCUCACCAAGCCGACGAUCAGUAGCUGGUUUGAGAGGAUGAUCAGCCACACUGGAACUGAGACACGGUCCAGACUCCUACGGGAGGCAGCAGUGAGGAAUAUUGGACAAUGGGCGAAAGCCUGAUCCAGCCAUGCCGCGUGAGUGACGAAGGCCUUAGGGUUGUAAAGCUCUUUCAGAUGCGAAGAUAAUGACGGUAACAUCAGAAGAAGCUCCGGCUAAAUUCG
rnacentral:rRNA from 1 species